rnacentral:rRNA from 1 species
AGAGUUUGAUCCUGGCUCAGAUUGAACGCUGGCGGCAGGCUUAACACAUGCAAGUCGAGCGGGGAAGGGUAGCUUGCUACCUGACCUAGCGGCGGACGGGUGAGUAAUGCUUAGGAAUCUGCCUAUUAGUGGGGGACAACAUUCCGAAAGGAAUGCUAAUACCGCAUACGCCCUACGGGGGAAAGCAGGGGAUCUUCGGACCUUGCGCUAAUAGAUGAGCCUAAGUCAGAUUAGCUAGUUGGUGGGGUAAAGGCCUACCAAGGCGACGAUCUGUAGCGGGUCUGAGAGGAUGAUCCGCCACACUGGGACUGAGACACGGCCCAGACUCCUACGGGAGGCAGCAGUGGGGAAUAUUGGACAAUGGGCGAAAGCCUGAUCCAGCCAUGCCGCGUGUGUGAAGAAGGCCUUUUGGUUGUAAAGCACUUUAAGCGAGGAGGAGGCUACUUGGAUUAAUACUCUAGGAUAGUGGACGUUACUCGCAGAAUAAGCACCGGCUAACUCUGUGCCAGCAGCCGCGGUAAUACAGAGGGUGCGAGCGUUAAUCGGAUUUACUGGGCGUAAAGCGUGCGUAGGCGGCUUUUUAAGUCGGAUGUGAAAUCCCUGAGCUUAAC